AGUGAACGCUGGCGGUAGGCCUAACACAUGCAAGUCGAACGGCAGCACAGAGGAGCUUGCUCCUUGGGUGGCGAGUGGCGGACGGGUGAGGAAUACAUCGGAAUCCACUCUGUCGUGGGGGAUAACGUAGGGAAACUUACGCUAAUACCGCAUACGACCUACGGGUGAAAGCAGGGGACCUUCGGGCCUUGCGCGAUUGAAUGAGCCGAUGUCGAAUUAGCUAGUUGGCGGGGUAAAGGCCCACCAAGGCGACGAUCCGUAGCUGGUCUGAGAGGAUGAUCAGCCACACUGGAACUGAGACACGGUCCAGACUCCUACGGGAGGCAGCAGUGGGGAAUAUUGGACAAUGGGCGCAAGCCUGAUCCAGCCAUACCGCGUGGGUGAAGAAGGCCUUCGGGUUGUAAAGCCUUUUUGUUGGGAAAGAAAUCCAGCUGGCUAAUACCCGGUUGGGAUGACGGUACCCAGAGAAUAAGCACCGGCUAACUUCGUGCCAGCCGCCGCCGUAA
rnacentral:rRNA from 1 species